rnacentral:rRNA from 1 species
GACGAACGCUGGCGGCGUGCUUAACACAUGCAAGUCGAACGGAAAGGCCCUGCUUUUGUGGGGUGCUCGAGUGGCGAACGGGUGAGUAACACGUGAGUAACCUGCCCUUGACUUUGGGAUAACUUCAGGAAACUGGGGCUAAUACCGGAUAGGAGCUCCUGCUGCAUGGUGGGGGUUGGAAAGUUUCGGCGGUUGGGGAUGGACUCGCGGCUUAUCAGCUUGUUGGUGGGGUAGUGGCUUACCAAGGCUUUGACGGGUAGCCGGCCUGAGAGGGUGACCGGCCACAAUGGUACUGAGAUACGGCCCAGACGCCUACGGGAGGCAGCAGGGGAGAAUAUUGCACAGUGGGCGGAAGCCUGAUACGGCAGCGCCGCGUGCGGGAUGACGGCCUUCGGGUUGUAAACCGCUGUCGCCUGUGACGAAGCGUGAGUGACGGUAAUGGGUAAAGAAGCACCGGCUAACUACGUG